rnacentral:rRNA from 1 species
UGAGGAAUCUUGCGCAAUGGGGGAAACCCUGACGCAGCAACGCCGUGUGAGUGAGGAAGGUCUUCGGGUCGUAAAGCUCUGUCAGGCGGGAAGAAAUGCAUGGAGGUGAACAGCCGCCAUGCUUGACGGUACCGCCAGAGGAAGCACCGGCUAACUCCGUGCCAGCAGCCGCGGUAAUACGGGGGGUGCAAGCGUUAUUCGGAAUCAUUGGGCGUAAAGAGCGUGUAGGCGGCUUGGUAAGUCAGAUGUGAAAGCCCUGGGCUCAACCCGGGAAGUGCAUUUGAAACUGCCAGGGUCGAGUAGGGGAGAGGGAAGUGGAAUUCCUGGUGUAGAGGUGAAAUUCGUAGAUAUCAGGAGGAACACCGGUGGCGAAGGCGACUUCCUGGCCCUAUACUGACGCUGAGACGCGAGAGCGUGGGUAGCAAACAG